rnacentral:tRNA from 1 species
UCCCUGGUGGUUCAAUGGUUAGGACUCUGUGCUUCCACUGCAGGAGGCAUGGGUUCAGUCCCUGGUCAGGGAA